AUAUAUAAUAGUUUUUUCUUUUUCUAAAUAUAAAUUCUCUCCAAUUUUACUAUAUUUUCAGCAGGAAUGAACCGUCAGUCUAAGAAAAAUGGUUAAUUACGCUAGAAUAGCAGAUUUUUUAAUGGUACAUUUCAGUUCCUAAAGUAUAAAUAGCACAUAUGAAAAAUGAAAGAGUAAUAAAUAUGCGAAAUGUCGGUCUAUUUCACAGUUACAAAAUUCUGUAGUAAUUUUUACUAUAAAGUCCUCUUCGUGUAUAAAUUGCAAGUAAAUUCGCGCGAUGCAUAUCGAUGUUACGGAACGAUAGCUCUCUAUUUACAAGAGACAGCUGUGCUAUUGAUCCACUGGCAAUAAUUAUACGUUGGCUAAUUCGUAUAGAGCAGUUCUUUUAACAAUGCAUGCUUUGAUGAGUAUCGGGAACUCUAUUCCGCCUUCUCGCGCCGUUUAUGGAAUCUGGUUUGUCGUAACACGUGGAACGGCGUACGUAUACACGCAUGCAUCGAGCAGCUAAAUCAAUUAGAGUGCCACGGACUAUGUCGACCGAUCGUUUGAUUCGAACGCAUUAGGCGAAACGCUUAAUUGAUCGGCUUAAGAUGAACGAUCCGAUCUCCUUUAACUUCCCGCUGCGGCAAAAUAUACAUGCAUCUACAAUGUAAUGUAACGCGGGUCAUAGGUUGAAUGCAAUCGCCGGAUCCGGAAUGAAGAAAUUCUCGCAUAGAUAUUAUUGCACAAGAUAGAUUAGGCCUGAUUAAACUGUUAUGACAAGGAACGAUUACUGUGUAACAGGAAUGAGUACACAAUAGCUGCUACGUCAUAUUGUAAAGUCCAGUUUUCUGAGAUAAGUCUGCAAUCAAUUAAAUUUCACGCAAGUAUCGUUUAAAAGAGUUUGUCAACUUAAAAAAUGUGGUAAAUAUAUACGUUACUCGUAAAAUAUAUCGACAGAGUAAGUGUCUUUAAAUAAGAGAAUUUCUGUUCAGAAACAUCGAAUUUCAGAAACUUAACAUUUCUUCGUGGGAACGCGCAAAGAUAAAUAACAAAAAUGACGCGGAUCAUUUAUGAUAAUUCCAUGGAAAUUUGCUUCAAGCCAAUUACGAUAACGAGCGAGAUAAAUGCUAAGUAAGCUAAGUAAUGCCUAGUAAGCUAAGAUAGAAAGAAAAACUCGAAAAAUCUUAUUGGCGAGCGUCAUUAUGUAUCGAUCUGUAAAGCAGAUGCUGCGGAACGGAAAGUUUGCGUACACGAGAUGCUUGUAGCACUAAAAGAUUCGAGAUACCGCGCUCACCUACCGCUCUCGACGUUAUAUUGAUGUUUAAUAAACUAUCGCGGGGCUAUUUAAUAACGUUUUAACUAUCGAUCCCGCCGCGUCAGCCGAGGAUCGAUCCCCGACGAGCGUUCGAUUCGAUGAGAGGAAACGUUUAAUUGGAUCGGUCGUCGAUUUGAUCUCGUUGAUCGAAUCUGAACAGUUUAACGAUUCGUGCCAGACGAUUAAUCGGCGAAAUUCGUGCUGCAGUCUUGUCUGGAAACGCAAAGCCCGCAAAUUGUCCGUAAUUAUUUAUUGUACCAGCCUCCAUACACAGGAUCAAGCAUUCAAACGUCAAAUUAGAGCCGUUGCUCCUCAAUCGUAAUCAAUCUUUUUGAAAGACAGUUAUUGUCCGCUGGGAAUUAUUCGAACGGUUUAUUACGUUAGCGUUAUACAGAUAUCAAGGCGGAGAGUAUCGACGUCUUUCCGCUUUUUGAAAGAAUCGCGUCUAACGUUUCGUAAGAAUUUGAUGAAACUUGCACUAUGUACACAAUGAGAUAUUAUCUAAUUGCUUGUGUAUUAGAUGAAAAUUCACUAUUUAAGAGCUGAGAUAUUUGCUAAAGUUGACACUUUUUACACAUGUUCCUUGAAGCUAUCGUUCUAUUUUUAAUUUCCAUUCCUAAUAUUACCUAAACUACAUGUGAGAUUUGGAUGAACAACUACUAUGAUAUUACAAACUAAUACACAGAUAUUAUAUAGAAAUUUCAGAAUUAUCAACUAUUCCGUUUUCAAGAUACAGCAGUGGAAAAUUUAUAGUAAUACUAACUCGAAAUACAUACAUAUACAUAAACACAAAUAAAUACGUACACAUCUUUUUUAUAAUAUCUAUUAGACAAACUGACGCAUAAAUGAAAUCCUUAUCAAAAAAAUAAAAAAUAAUAGUGUUUUAUAUUGUACGUACAUAUGUAUUUAUUACAAUUUUACUUCAAGUUAACAGUAACCUAGAUGGUGAAAUAAAUGUAUAGAGAAACAUAUAAUUUUGUUUAAUAAAUAAUAAGUUUAUAAGUGGUUGUUGAGUCACUGAAAACGCGUCACCUAGCGAUAUAACUAUUUUAAUUUCCGAUUUUGUCAUACAUUCUUGCACAAAUAAAAUACAUGCAUAAAAUAUCUUUAGUAAACGUCUCAUUUGAUCUCCUUUAUAGGUUACUGGCGUGCCAAAAACAUUUAACUCUCGAAAACACAAAAUAUAGAACGUACACGACUCUCGCGAUUAAUCGAUACUAACAAGAACGAUCAAUGUCUCGAGCAAGAACUCCCGCUAAUCUCGCAGACUUACCGCACGACGUUAAUGGGGAAGGCAAAAUGACUGUAACAACAUUAUUCAGGCGAUAAAUAUCGAAACGAUACCGAUAACGAAGUAAUUUCCAAAUAAACAAACGUCCAUAGAACGUCAGCGUGACUCUUCGUGUUAGCGGCUACAGAGAUUAUUUUUAAAGCGGUUUCUCAUUAGUUGUUCUGUGUUACGAUCGUUUUACAGCCACAGAUAAGAAGUUAAUUUUAUUUUCUUUGCGGCUGCGUGUCUCUCGUAGCUUUACAGCAAUGCUCGCCUUUGGAUAACAAGCGAGUAUCUAUUGCACGACUGUUUGCAAGGCGUUUUCUCGCGAUGUGUUCGCGCGGAUAAACUGGAGCGGGUACUCGUCGUUUUCCGCAACCUCGCGUUGUCGCGACGUCGUGCGUCAGUCUAUGCUUUUAGACCUUCAUGGGAAGAGAGAGACAGAGAGACAGACAGAGAGAGAGAGAGAGAGAGAGAGAGAGAGAGAGAGAGAGAGAGAGUAGGAUACAUUAAAAAGUGUUUGCGAGCAGCAACGAGUAAACAGAUGGUUAUAUUUAUAGCCAAGCUGUGCGUCGACUAUAAGGUAAGGUAAGGCGAAUAACGGGGAAAACCGCGAGGCUCCGCCAUGUAUUCAAAACUUAUGUCGUGUAAUCUUCGUCGUUCAUCGCGAUUAUUUCGUGAAUUAGCCGGAUUGCGGAAUGAUCGGGCCCAUUCGCAUACAAAAUAAAAUUGCCUCCAUCAUACGCACGGAGCGCGAUUCGUACGCUUGCGACUCGGCGCAAUUCCCGUUAAACUUCAUUACUUUCCUGCCUCGAUAAGUAUCAGGCAUCAGCUCGAAACGCAAAUGAAGUGUAGGAAUCUCCUUCCCGCUGGAAUUAUGCUACACCGUGCGCGCGGCGAGACUCGUGUGUCUUGACCUUCGGGGAUAAUCAAUUCAUCACGGCAAAUUAUUCUACCGUUGCGUUAGAUUCGUGACUUUGUUGUGGAAUUCGAAGAAUCGCUUGUCGUUCCUAUAGAAGCGAUAAAUUAAUUUUCCAAGACGUUUCCUUAAUUGGUUUUCGUAUUGCCCUCUCCACGAUAUUCAACUUUCUUGUAAUCUAUUUCGAAAUAUUAAUUUGUACGUUAAAUGUCAGGUGAGCUGGGAAAAUUAUCCUUUAAGAUAGUUAUAUCACAAAAUGAGUUUCGUGAGAAUUUGAUGAAAUUUGCACUACAUACACAGUAAAACAUUGCCUAACUGCACAUGUAACUAGAAAAAGACCAAUCAUUCAAGAACUGAGAUAUUUGCAAUUAAAGUUGACACUUUAUAUACAUGUUCCUUGAGGUUAACGUGCUAUUUUUUAUAUCUAAAUCUCUUAAUAUUUAAUGUUUCUAUUUCUAAUAUCUCCUAAACAACAUGUGAAAUUUUGAUAAAAAACUACUAUGAUAUUAAAGACCAAUAAACAGACAUUAUAUACACAAAUUUCGACUAUUUUGUUUUUAAGAUAUAGCGCUAGAAAGUUCAUAAUUAAAUAAUAAUAAUAAUUAAAUAAUAGUAAUAAUUAAAUAAUAUAUAUAUUUAGAUAUAUCCGUAUAUUUUUUUAUUAUCUGUACACUGCUAUUAGAUAAACUAAUGUAUAAAUAAGACACUCAUCAAUAAAAUAAAAAUAUAAUAGUUUUUUCAUAUAUUUGUAAUAUUGUGUAGAUAUGUUUAUCUUAAUUUUGUUUCAAAUUUACAGUGAUACGCAGACAAUGAAAUAAAUGUAUCAAAACAUAGUUCUUUUUGCUUGAUAAAUAGCAUAUUUAUCCCUUGAUGCACCGCGAAAUACAGUAUUUAGUAAUACAGCUAUCUUAACAUUUCGUUAUUAGGACUGUAUGUAUUUAUAAACGGUGAGAAAUGGCGCUCCGAGAUCUUGGCAAAGUUUAAAGUUAACUCGUGCUCGCGAUAUCAUUUCAUGUAAUCAGUAAUAUAAACAUAGUGCUGAAAGUGUCCUUGAAAUUUACUAUAAAUAUAACUAUUUAGUUGUCCGAAGAAACCACGGUAAACAUUUGCAAGGAAACGAAUGUCAAAUGCGACGAAUAAAUUAAUAUCGUGAACAAUAUACGCGCUAUAACCUGCAAGCUACGAUGACGUUCAUAUAAAUCCUGAAGCAUUCGGCAGGAAAAAUGUAUUUCAUACGAUUCUUAUCUCCGAUUCCGAGAAAACGCAUAAGGACAACUUCAAACUUAUGGCCAUUAGAAAUCCAAGACAACGCAAAAAUACUCAAAAGGACCAUAGUUCGCCUAAAUAAACGCGUAAACGAGGAGAAUUAUGUCAAGAUAGAGGACAAAGAUGGACGUAAUUUUUUUGUAAUUUCACACAUACACACACACAAUUAAUAUAUAGCGCAGCGUGGUUGAGACGUAAUCGGAUAAAUGUCAGCGAAUAUUUGUUAGACGUGGCAAAUAACGUCGUCGCGCAAGACACAUGUUACGGAUUCCAUGAAAAUUUUAAAAAAGCAUUAUGUUAGUAAGUAACGCGGUGAAUAUCUGAAUCGCACAAUUGUAUGGAGUCGCAUAAUGGACAGGAAUGACUGACAAUGGAGAAAUAAGAGGUCGGAGCGAAGAAAUGCCACAUGUCACAGCGUACAGAUUUAAGAAUCAAUAAUGCAUUUUAGAAAGGAAAUUCAACGUAUAAAACGUCACAUUACAAACCUGAUUUGCUUGAUUUAAAGUUAUUUAUUUGUGUCUAAGACAAAGACGACUUCGUUCCAUUGGAAACAUAACCCUAUUUUCAUUCUUCGUCGCGGACGAGGCGUCUGGCAUGCCGAGAGAAAUUCAUUUAUUUCGGUCGGCGAUCAAUCCCACCAACCCCAGCCGAUACCUGACCAAAAAGAAAGAAAAAAUCUCUGUCUUUCGACAAGAUGUUGGAUUAAAAUUCGCGUUCGCAUCGAAAAGAAAAAAAAAUGAGCAUGCUGCGUGAGAAACGGGGUAAAAGCUGCCUCACGAUUUGAAGAGCACCCUCAAGUUAUCCCCGACUCAUCCCCGGCAAGGAGAUUGAACGCGAAUGCCCGGGACGGAAAAAAGCCGACAGCGUAACAGAAACGAUACGGAGUGCCUGACGAGGAGCCACGCUGGCGGCCGGGGCAGGAUUUGCAAGGGGUUGCCAAAGGGGUCGAAACAGGGGGUGCAGAUUUGAACAAGAGCUCGGUUGCUAUGCAAAUUGGAAAGAUAAUAAUCGAUUGUCGGAGGAUGGUUGCGUUGAUGGGCUCGCGGAUGAGCGCGGCACACCUCCCCACCUGGAAAACACGCCGAUCCCCUUCGCCCCCUGCUCCUCUUUUUCGCUGGCCCCUCCGGCCCACCCCCGUAUCGCCCAUCCCGAUCUCCCUCAAGGGAAAUUAUAUAGUCUGCCCUCGACGUACCCCAGGCACCAUAGACCGUCAAAUACCUUACCUGUCCCGUCUGCAUUCAUUCCCUUUCGUGUCUCGUUCCUAUAUCGGUAGUCCGAGAGUCAGGAUGGACGUUGCGAAUUUUUUAGACACCUUCGGCCGCGGCCGGAUAAUCGAGUGCGCGGCGAUUGAUACGUGUCGCAAUAUUUUUCCGUACGAAGUUACCGCGAGUGCCUUAGUGAGGGUGACUCGCAGCCGAAAGAGAGAGAGAAAGAAAGAAAAAUUGUGAUAGCAAUCAGGUAGAAUCGUGUCGCUGCACGAAAGACAUCCCCAUCGUUAUAAAUGUAGAUAAUAGCAUUCUACUUGGUAAUUAAAUAUCACUAACGUUUCAUUAAUGAUUUAUUUAUUGUUUAGUAUUAAUUGUUUGUUUAUUUUUAUUUUAAUGCACUAUUGUUGUUACUUAUGCUUUGGUUAAUUCUAUUGUAUUAGUUUGUAUUAUAUUUGUAUUUGUUUGUAUUGUAUUAGUUUGAUUUUUAUUGUAUCAGAAGGUGAGAGGGGAGAGAUAUAAUUAGUUAUUAACGUUUCCAAUAAUAGAAAUUAAUUUUCAUAUUAUUAUAUAUAAUAAAGUUUUCUUUGCAGUAAGAGAAAAAUACUUGUAGGUUUAUACGUAAAAUAUAAAGUUUGUUUCUGUGAAGUAAUGUUUAUUUUUGCGAAUAAACAUGCCACAAAUAAGCUCUUAAGCAUGUUUUUCUCUCAGAAUUUGUUGCCAAGCGCGUGUAAUGUGGUAACCGUGCAGUCAUUUUGAACGAACUUGCCUAGCGGUAAAUUGACGGGGCAGAAUUAAUUAAUCAACUGACAUAAAAAAUUGAGAAAAAUAAGAGGCAGCGGACAUUGUGACAAAUGGUGUUUGUAGCUUCUCUGAUUCAUCGGAAUAAACGGUGUUGUAAUAAAAUCAGCAUUCGGAUGUGGAUGCGGGGGCAGAUAGCGAGUGAGUUCGCUAAUUGAAGAAAGCUUCUGCGUAUCAAUCAUCCGUUCAAUGGCAGUUCUUCUAGAUUCCGCGAUUGACCCAAUUUCGCUAUGUCGAGAGAGAGAGAGAGAGAGAGAGAGAGAGAGAGAGAGAGAGAGAGAAAGAGACGGAAAGAGAGAGAGAGAGAGAGAGUCAUGCACAAAAUUAUGGAUAUUCUAUGGUAUAUUGCAUAAAUUUGAUCGAAACGAUGUUGUUCUAUUACGAAAGAAAUUUGAUCCUGCUUUAAUAUUUAUUUUCCCCGAAAUGAAUUUCUCCUCGCACACGAUACAAUUUAUUUAAUAACAUAAUCGUAUGAGUACAGUUGAAUUGAGAUAAAUUUCAAAAAAUAGUAAAAAACGAAGUAAAAUUGAAUGUUCUACGCAAAGUUCCGCUCUGCACUAAUGAGAAAUACAAUAUGAGAAAUGCUAUUAAUUAAAAAGUAAAAUAAGUUGAAAUUAAUAAUCGUUUUAUAGAAAUGUCUCGAAAAAUUAUACGAUAUAUAUAUAUAUAUAUAUAUAUAUAUAUGUGUGUGUGUGUGUGUGUGUGUGUGUGUGUGUGUGUGUGUGUGUAUGUUACGCGACAUGUACACGUAUAUAGCGUUUAAUAUACAAUAAUGUUUCGUUGCGAAUAUACGACAAGCCGUAGUCGCGUAUUCCGUUCUGACAAUUAGCUCGCUCAUAAAAGUUUCGUUAGUGCGGCUUUGCUAUUUGCUUCUGCCUAUUUGUAUUGGCGCAACUUGUUUGCGUAUGUAAAUUUGCUAGGUACGUCAUCGGCUGAAAUUGUCGACUAUGUUCAGCAUUACUAAGUCCAUUUUCUUAAAUGUCAUGAAGUUAAAUUGUAAUAUCAACGAAAAUUAUUAUAGUUUUCCCGCGUUUAACUAAAAUGAUAUUGCAUUUAAUUUACCAUUCAAUUUCAUUGUGUAACUAAAAUGAUAAUUUAAUGUUGGAAAAUUUAUUGCCGCUUGAAAGUAUAACAAAAUGAAUCACUUGUCGAUUAACGCUGAAACUAUAUAAGUAAUUUGUUUCCGCAUAUGCUCUGAUGCAAUAUCAAAACGAUAUAAUAAAAUGUAUUAAUUGUAGUAAAAAUAAUAAUUAAGUUUUGCAAAACAAAAAUAAUUUUUUCAGCUACAAGUAAGCUACAAGUAAGCGCGUCCCGAUCAUUUUGCUGCACUUAUUUAUUUUUUAAUUAUAUCUAUCAAAUUUAUUGAUAAUUUCAUAUUUCAUUUUUCACGUAAAUCUUUCUUAGUCUU